rnacentral:rRNA from 1 species
AACGAACGCUGGCGGCAUGCCUAACACAUGCCAGUCGAACGAGACCUUCGGGUCUAGUGGCGCACGGGUGCGUAACGCGUGGGAACCUGCCCUUAGGUUCGGAAUAACUCACCGAAAGGGGUGCUAAUACCGGAUAAUGUCUUCGGACCAAAGAUUUAUCGCCUUUGGAUGGGCCCGGGUUGGAUUAGCUAGUUGGUAGGGUAAAAGCCGACCAAGGCGACGAUGCAUAGCUGGUCUGUGAGGAUGCUCAGCCACACUGGGACUGCGACACGGCCCAGACUCGUACGGGAGACAGCAGUGGGGAAUAUUGGAGAAGGGGCGAAAGCCUGAUCAAGCAAUGCCGCGUGAGUGAUGAAGGCCGUAGGGUUGUAAAGCUCUUUUAGCCGGGAUGAUAAUGACAGUACCGGGAGAAUAAGCUCCGGCUAACUCCGUG